GGGAAGUUUUCUCUUUUUUCCCCUCGGCUCCUGCUCCAGCGGCACCAUGUGAUCCACCAACAAGGAGGGACGCCAAUAAGGUGUCUGAUAAGAUAAGUCUUAUAAAAUAUAUGUUUAUGAUAAUUGAGACUGAGCUAACAGAUGAGAAUCCUAGUCAUUGGCCAAGCAGCUUUGAACCUAAUACAAGUUUCUGUUUAUUCAUUUGGGCCCUAACUCGGGUGGGGGGCUGGCGUAAAGCUCACACGUGGCGGUGGGGCUCAGGCAGUUUAUGGUGGAAAGAUUUAUCGUAACAAAAAUGCACUUAGUUAAAUGAAAGAAAGGAGCCCACUGCCCGGGGAGCCAAUUACUGGAGCCAGAGGAGGGGCAAGGGGCCUAGUCAGGAGGAAGGGACAUGGUGGCACUGUGUGUGCUCAUCUCUGUUUCUAGUAUGUCAGGUGACAAUCCCCCUCCCUACAUUUUCAGCUGGCCCUCCUCUCCAGGAUCCCACACCUUUCUUGCUGGUCUCACUGAGUUGGUCCCCCCCUUCUGCUCUGUCUCUCAGUCACUGGCCCUUUCUUGAGCCACCGAGACUGGGGCACUUGUCUCGGUUUGAAGUGUCUCAUGGUCGCUUGUCACAUAACGAGUGUAUUUGUGAUCCUGCCCACAAAGCCCCGUUUCUGUUGAAGUUUGCCACCAAUUCUCCCCACAUCAGUGCUGGAAGUUCUGUGCUCUCUCUCACCUCCAAGUGUUUGGUUAUGCCAAACUCCUACCCGGCCCAGCAUGCUCUAUGCCCAGUAGACUGCAGUUAAAAGCACAGACAAUGGGAUCUUAUUCAAGAUGUUUCAGGCUUGAUUCCCGAGGCUGUUGUUUCUCAGCCUUGUAACUGUGGGUCAGGCACCUAAGGUCUCUGUCUCAUCUCCUCUGUGGUUAAUAUGGGGAACAAUAAUGAAAAAAAAACCUGUACAAAGCACUCAGCCCAAGUCAAAGAUGGGGAGCAACGAAUGACCAGGAAAUAAGUAACUGCUCACUGGAAGUGUGAAUGAGUGAAUUCAUUCAAUGCAUAGAGUAAAUUCACACAACCCAAGUAUUUAAAGGAAACUAGCAAAACUACUCUUAAUGAACAUGUAAAGUUACUUUAAAGGUUAAUGUGGAAAUACUGAUUACAUGGCAAGGGAAAAAUCCCACUAUUACUGCCAUGUAGCGUGAGGCCGAGUGCCACUUAGCUGAGAGCGCCUUCACUCCCUCUGCGUCCGACUUGAGCUCCUCCCCAUGACGCUGCCUUGGAGUAACGAUGAUAUCACAGGUGCAGAGCCUGGGGAUGUGACACGGACCAAGGAUGAAUAGGGUGGGUAGAUUAUUAUCCCACUGUGUAGAUGGGGAAACCGAGGCAAGAUUUGAGUCCGGUGGAUUGUCACAGAGCUAGGGCUAACUUAACGCUUGGUAGCUUCUCAGGAAGAUUGUGACAGAUGAAGAAGCAAGACUUCCUCUGCCCUAACGUAGAGAGAAGCCCAGAAAGAAGAUAGCGUGGGGAAGUGGAGGGGACCGGGCAUCCCCAGUGUUUGUGGAAACUACUGAGUUUUCAAGAAGAAAAGUGUGUGUAGGAUGUCUUGGAAUCCUUUCUUUCCAAACAUAUUUCUUUUUGUUCUGCAUUAAUAAUAAACUCAAGCUUGCAGCUUGCCCCACGUAUCAGUUACUUUUCUGUGGUUGUGGUUAAACACCACAACCAAGAGCAAGUCAUAGAAAAGGGUCCAGAGGGAUAAAGUCCACAAUAGUGUGGGAGGCAUGGAAGCAGGGUCUCCUUUUCAUCCACAUGCAGGAAGAAGGAGAAGAGGAGGGGGGGAGAAAGAGGGGGGGAAGAGGAGAAG
rnacentral:lncRNA from 1 species